ACAAACUUGGUCAUUUAGAGGAAGUAAAAGUCGUAACAAGGUUUCCGUAGGUAUGUAGUACAUCGUCCCCAUAUUUCCCCUCUCAAUGACUUAAUGCUAACAGAAUAUUCUAGGUGAACCUGCGGAAGGAUCAUUAACGAGCUAGGGUCUCCUAGGCCCGACCUCCCAACCCUAUGUUUACUAAACCUAUGUUGCUUCGGCGGGCCCGUCUUCACGACCGCCGGGGGGCGGCAACAUGCCCUCUGGCCCGCGCCUGCCGGUGGCCAACCUUUACAAAUUCUGCUUUAAACCGUGUAACGUGUCUGAGUCUCAUUCUUAAUUAAAGCAAAAACUUUCAACAACGGAUCUCUUGGUUCUGGCAUCGAUGAAGAACGCAGC
rnacentral:misc_RNA from 1 species